UGGGGAAUAUUGCACAAUGGGCGCAAGCCUGAUGCAGCCAUGCCGCGUGUGUGAAGAAGGCCUUCGGGUUGUAAAGCACUUUCAGCGAGGAGGAAGGUGGUGAGCUUAAUACGCUCAUCAAUUGACGUUACUCGCAGAAGAAGCACCGGCUAACUCCGUGCCAGCAGCCGCGGUAAUACGGAGGGUGCAAGCGUUAAUCGGAAUUACUGGGCGUAAAGCGCACGCAGGCGGUUUGUUAAGUCAGAUGUGAAAUCCCCGGGCUCAACCUGGGAACUGCAUUUGAAACUGGCAAGCUAGAGUCUCGUAGAGGGGGGUAGAAUUCCAGGUGUAGCGGUGAAAUGCGUAGAGAUCUGGAGGAAUACCGGUGGCGAAGGCGGCCCCCCUGGACGAAGACUGACGCUCAGGUGCGAAAGCGUGGGGCAGCAAACAGGAUUAGAUACCCUGGUAGUCCAGCGCUGUAAACGAUGUCGAUUUGGAGGUUGUGCCCUUGAGGCGUGGCUUCCGGAGCUAACGCGUUAAAUCGACCGCCUGGGGAGUACGGCCGCAAGGUUAAAACUCAAAUGAAUUGAC
rnacentral:rRNA from 1 species